AUUUAGAAGGAAAACGUUUGGAGACGGCGCGCCGGCCGAAGCUUCGCCCGGUCGCGCCGCGCCGCGUAGCUCGCUUUAGUUUUUCUCUCCAUGUGAUUAUGUGAACAUCUGGGACCACCCACCGCCUACCUCUUCAUCUUAUCUCUUGAAAACACACUGCAGCCAUUGGUUCCCCUCAAGUCUCUCUCCUCCCAAUCCCAAUCUCAUCAGCCAUGGCACGGCCAUCCCCCCGGUGAGCAGCUCCUUCCAUGGUGCUCGUGCGGCUCCUACCUUUCCUUGGCUGUGACGCUCGUCACCUUGUCCGCCUUCGCCGGCAGCUGGACACACGCCCUCUCCAUGGUCGUCGCAGUUAGGGUGCUUCGGUCGCUAUGGCCAAGCUACAUCCGGCCACGGCCACGGCGGUGAGUUUGUGCUGGAACCAAGGGGCUUUGCUGGAACUGGGUUUUUUUUGUUGGGUCCACCAUUUUGUUUUGCUACAACCCCUUUGUUUUUUGCUACCAUCCCCAUUCGUUUUCGAUGAACAUCUUCGUUUUUGUUGGAAUUGGUGCCCCUGUCUGCUGCAACCAGCUGGUGUAUGUGCUACAAGGUCGGUGCCUCGUCGGGGAAGCUACAUCCAACAGCAAGGAGUGUUGUAUCCAACGCUGUUCGAACAUCGGGAGCUGCAACCGGCUACCGGGGGAGCUGUAAGAGUGGGUGGCCACUUUUUUGCUGAUGCAUUUUUUGCUGAACCAAUUUUUUUGUUUUUGCUGGAACCGGUGUAUUUUUUUGCUGGAACCAAGAUAAUUUUUUGCUUCUUUGGACACAGAGCUCUCAAAUGCUCAUGUCGUUUUUGUUGGCACCUAAGUUUGUUUUUGCUACAAGCAUUUUUUGAUUUUGCUUCAACCAACCACCCGACUUCGACCCGGGGUGAUUUUUUUGCUGAAAGAUUUUUGUUGCCUUGGCACUCGAACCCGGCGAGUUGGAGACGCAGAGAUGAUGCAUCUAGCCACCCUGACUGCUAGCACAUGCAUCGUCAGAAGUUUGGAUCCAGCAAAUUAUUUUGCCACCACCAUAAUUUUUUACUAGAAACAGCUUCAAAUUUUGCUUCCACCAUGUUCUGUUUUUGCUAGAUCUAGCUUUUGUUUUUGCUUCCACCAUGCCGACGGCCGGCAGCGAUGAGGACAACCGGCGAGGAGGGUGGCUACAGGCGACCGCACCGAGGCGGGCGGUACUUUCAGGCUGGGCGCAUCGCUCAUCCAUGGCAGCGCUGGGAGUUUUUUUUGAAGGAAAAAGACGCCCGGUGAAAGAAAAGGAGAGAAUCGUACGGCUAUGAGUUAUUCGAUCGGACGUUGCUAGUACAACCGGCCCAAAGUUGGGCCGGCGCACCGGCGCCUAGUAGUGGCCUGUUUAGAAAGCGUUCAAGUAUUUGCAUCAAGUAUGUGUGAUUUAAAUGGGCCGAGAUGAGAGCGGGGGCCGAGGGCCGAGCCUGCUACAAGAAGAUCACGCUGUUGGUGGGCCGGGACCCUGCCGCAGCGAGAGUCCGUAUCCGACUACCAACCGCGCCGCGCCGCGGCGACACUUCCAGAAAUCCCCGCAAGAAUCCGCGCCAGCGCCAGCACUAGCAGCAGAGCCAAAGCAACCAGAGUGUUCGCCAUUGUUCCUCUCCCUAGCCCCCGAUCGUACCAGCUGCGAGCAUCCAAGAAGAAUCGCCGCCGAUGCCUGCGCCGCCGCUCCGGACCGUGCACCUGCGCCGGUAUCCCUCGCCGCCCGACGCCGCGCCAGAGUCGGCGGCCAUCGUGGUCGACGGAGGCGGCGGGGUGGACCUCGCCCGGGUGGGCCGCGCGCUGGGGCUGGACCCCGCCAGCGUCCGCCUCAACGGCUACUUCGUCAGCCGCGGCCCCGGCCACGUCUCUACGGCGGUCACCUGGGGCACGCUCCUCGCCUUCUUCGCCGCGCGCGGGCUCCCCACCGGCGCCGACCCCGCCGCCCCCGUCGCCAUCCGCGGCAAGCCCGCGCCUUCGCCCCCACGCCCAGGUGUGCCUCUCUUACAGUAUAAACGUACUAUGAAAAAAGUUCUUGCGGCGCCAGUGUUCUUUGAGCAAACCCCGACUUCUUGAUUCCCGGCGCUACUGGAGAUAGAGAGCAACAUAGCAGUCAAAUGUUGUUCAGGCCUUCAGGGUCCAAUGCUUGGUUGAGUUUUGGGUCAGUUUCAUCAAAUAUUAGUACAGGAUAUUAAGGGUCCAAAGAUGCAGUAGCAACUUAUUUGAGCAAGUUGGAUGCAUGUUCAAAUCAGGGGUAUUAGAAACUCCACUCUUCCUGACAUUCGAGCAAGGGCAUUGGGAUAUUCAACUGCUCCGGUGCUAAUGCGUCUGUUAUUUUCCAACUCAACUCUGCUCUUCCUGGUUUCGGAACUGUUGGCAUACACUAUGUUCAUAGGCUCACAACAUUCUCAUCUACUUGUUGCAAAGCUGUGUUACUUAGUACGUAGUAUGUGCAUCGUGCUAGAAAAAUGUUGUUAUGCUGCACUCGAUAAAAAGCUUAAUGUAAACAUUUUGAUCUGAAUCUGUGCAUGAUAUUCCUGUCAGAUCCUGGAGUUCUUCAGUCCUCGAAGCGGAAGUCUGGGUUGGAGACAGAAAAUUGUUCCAAGAAGAGCAAGCUCCAACACAGCAGCUCAGCUCUUUCAAAAUCUAGUGAGGAGCUACUUAGUGAUGAGAUCACCCUUGGUUUGAAGAGAAGACUCAGGUUGGACGACAUGACUCCAUCUAAGAGGAUCAAACAAGUAGACUACAACUCAGAAACACAGCAGCCAGUCAAAUUCUCCUGCAGCUUCAUCAACGGGCAUGGAAAGCGAGCACGAGAUGAGGAGAUGGUCACCUCACUCCCAUGCAAGAGAGUCCGAUGAUAUGCCAAAUCUGUCCUGCAGACUGAGACUUUUGUGUCACAAGUCUUGGUUACUCGAAACAACUCGCAGAGCUGAGAUUAUGUGAACUGACAUGGCUAAGGCUUAAAGCUAUGUGUAGAUGUGUAGAGUGGUCUGGAGCCAUAGUUUCAGAUUUGUAUCAAGUCCCAGUUGCAACAGUUGUAAGAUUUAGUAUUUCUUGUUUACAUUGGUGUGUUUGUAUGAUGCCAGAAAAUCUGCUAAUGGUGGUCCAAGAUGAUGUAAUCGGCGCAAAAUGCUAAUAUCAAUAUUAUCAAAUCAGUAACCAGUGCAUUUGCCUCCUUCCCAAAAUAUGUCAUGUUGGUUUUGUUGAGC
rnacentral:rRNA from 1 species